rnacentral:rRNA from 1 species
GACGAACGCUGGCGGCGUGCUUAACACAUGCAAGUCGAACGGAAAGGCCCUGCUUGCAGGGUGCUCGAGUGGCGAACGGGUGAGUAACACGUGGGUGAUCUGCCCCUUACUUUGGGAUAAGCCUGGGAAACUGGGUCUAAUACUGGAUAGGACCAUGCUGUAGGUGGUGUGGUGGAAAGAUUAGUUUCGGUAAGGGAUGAGCUCGCGGCCUAUCAGCUUGUUGGUGGGGUAAUGGCCUACCAAGGCGUCGACGGGUAGCCGGCCUGAGAGGGUGGACGGCCACAUUGGGACUGAGAUACGGCCCAGACUCCGACGGGAGGCAGCAGUGGGGAAUAUUGCACAAUGGGCGCAAGCCUGAUGCAGCGACGCCGCGUGGGGGAUGACGGCCUUCGGGUUGUAAACUCCUUUCAGCCAUGACGAAGCCCUUGUGGUGACGGUAGUGGUAGAAGAAGCACCGGCGAACUACGU